GCCGAGUUGCAGCCACACUGCAGUCGACGGUACCAGGAAGCAGCUUGCUGCUUCGCUGACGAGUGGCGGACGGGUGAGUAAUGUCUGGGAAACUGCCUGAUGGAGGGGGAUAACUACUGGAAACGGUAGCUAAUACCGCAUAACGUCGCAAGACCAAAGAGGGGGACCUUCGGGCCUCUUGCCAUCAGAUGUGCCCAUAUGGGAUUAUCUAGUAUGUGGGGUAACGGCUCACCUACGCGACGAUCCCUAUCUGGUCUGAGAGGAUGACCAGCCACACUGGAACUGAGACACGGUCCAGACUCCUACGGGAGGCAGCAGUGGGGAAUAUUGCACAAUGGGCGCAAGCCUGAUGCAGCCAUGCCGCGUGUAUGAAGAAGGCCUUCGGGUUGUAAAGUACUUUCAGCGGGGAGGAAGGCGACAGGGUUAAUAACCCUGUCGAUUGACGUUACCCGCAAAAAAAGCACCGGCUAACUCCGUGCCAGCAGCCGCGGUAAUACAGAGGGUGCAAGCGUUAAUCAGAAUUACUGGGCGUAAAGCGCACGCACGCGGUCUGUCAACUCAGAUGUGAAAUCCCCGGGCUCAACCUGGGAACUGCAUUCGAAACUGGCACGCUAGACUCUUGUAGAGGGGGGUAGAAUUCCGGGUGUAGCGGUGAAAUGCGUAGAGCUCUGGAAGAAUACCGGUGGCAAAAGCCCCCCUGUGAAUAAACACCCCCCCUCAAGAGCCCAAGCUUGGGG
rnacentral:rRNA from 1 species